AACACGCCAGCCAGACAACCCAGUGUAUGAAUCAAAUGUAUUUGCAUAUGAAUAGAGUGGAAAUUGGCUGACUUUGUGAUCUGUAAGGUAAGUAACAAUGUGGGGGAGGAGGCAUUGAAAUUGUAGUAUAUUUUUUUUUACCCUGAUGCCUGUUUAUUCAUAAAAAGCAAGAAGAUGGUAAAUAACAUUAAUCGCAAUGGUUAGCCUAUGCAAAUGAACUCAAAUGAGCUGCCAACGUAGCUAGCUAAUUUACAUACUGUAUAGAUUGCUAGCUAAGUUAAUUACAUUUGACCAGCUACCUAACUUCAUAUUAGCUAGCUAUCUUGAUAUAUUUAACACUGUAAAAUACAUGUGUAGGUAGCUAGCUAACAGCCAUGGAGGAGGGUGAAAGGAUAGCAGGCACAGCUGUCAAAGUGAGAGAGUAGGCUAUUCUGGCUAGAGCAGGUUCUUUGUGUAGUUCCAGUCCUUAGAAGUGAGAACAGAGAACAUCCUAUUCAGUGCUGUCUAAUUUGAGUAUCAUGAAGUCUGUUUCUUUUGAGGUUUUCUGUCCUCAGAUACAGAGAGCUGUGAAAGCCUGUCUACAGAUGAAGAGGUCCCAAUGAAGAGCAGUGGUUCUCAGUCCUGGUCCUCAAAGGGCAUAAAGUACUCUGUAGCCACUUAGUGUGGACACCAGGUUGUAUCAGCUGUGUUGGUAAACCCCUCCCGUAUCUGAACUGGCAGACACAGAGGGCACAGCAUGAUCAUAGGUAUGAUUUGAUGUGAGAGAGGAAGCCAGUCCCCGUCAUCGCCACCGCACCCGCUCUUAAGAUAACCUUUGGGCCAAAUGGGAGCCCAAGUCUGAUUAGGAGACACCGCUAGAGACGCGAUGUAAUUGUGAUGAACUGAGAGAAUAUUAGGGUAGCACUGUAAUUCAUUAAUCAUACGUUGUCUUCUCUGCUCCUCUUACCUCUUUCCCUUUCUGUAUUCUACCCCUCUCUCCCCACCUCGUCUUUCUUCCUUUAAAAAAAUUAAUAAUAAUGCACUCCAUAUGUGCAUUGAAGUACAGAUUGAACUUGUAUUUAUAAUAAAAUAUUACAUGUAUAAUAUUUAUAAUGCAUGUAUUAUGUAUUUAUGACAUCUGGAUAAUGAACUUCUUUCAAUAAAGCGUUUCACAUUCUCCACUGGUUGAAAUGAAGUAUGUCAUUGAAAUACUAUCCUGUGUCCUCAGAUUAAUGCAGAUGAAGGGAGUUAGAUAUGCAUAGGAAGUGUAAUGUACUGUUUUUUUGUCUAUGUAUAUGAAUUACAAAUCAGCCUUUACUUAAAUCAUGUUUCUUGUCUAUUGCAUAGUUACAAUGUGUCAUCAUUGAUGUCCC
ensembl:lncRNA